UACGGGGGGGGGCAAGCGUUGCUCGGAAUGACUGGGCGUAAAGGGCGCGUAGGCGGCUCAUACAGUCAGAUGUGAAAUUCCUGGGCUUAACCUGGGGGCUGCAUUUGAUACGUGUGGGCUUGAGUGGGGAAGAGGGUCGUGGAAUUCCCAGUGUAGAGGUGAAAUUCGUAGAUAUUGGGAAGAACACCGGUGGCGAAAGCGGCUCACUGGCCCGGUUCUGACGCUGACGGCGCGAAAGCGUGGGGAGCAAACAGG
rnacentral:rRNA from 1 species